GUGGAUUGUGACACGGCACAGGUGAAGCCUAUGUACUUGGACCAGCGGGCUGGAGCCUGGCGGGUAAUCUGCUUAGGCCAGGUGUCAUUGUGCAGGUGGUGGGUUUGGAGGGAUGGGGGGUCUGAAGUGGUCCCUCCUGCCUGCCUGCUCAUGGGAACAGUGCACAGGGAAGGAUUUGGAGUGCCCGAGGAACACCUGGUAUGCCACAGCUUGGGCUUCAGAGGGUCAGAAGAUCCAGAGCAAGGGGAAAGAGAUCAGCCAAAUCAGAAAAAGGAGAAAGGAUUUAGGGUAUAAAGGGGCUGAGGAUCUGAGGAUGGAAUUCCAGGUUGUCCCUGGGCACUGCAGAAGGACAGAGCACACCUUAAAUGUUUGGACUUUCUAUGCCUCCUAUCUAAGUGACCUCUGGCUGCAGAAGGAGCAUUGGGAGUUUUUCUUUCUUGUCACAGCUCCCAGCAGAUGAAGUGCCACAGAGAUGAGCACCAGCUUUGAAACCAAUCAGCUCCAAGUUUAAAUCUUUAUUUUACUACUGAGAGAUUUUGGGCAAGUUACUCAGCAUCCCCCGAGCUUCUAUUUCUUCGUCUGCAAAAAUGGAAUAAACACAUCUGCUUUCCAGGGUGGUUGUAAAGAUUAAAUUAAAUAAAGAACGUGUGGUUCUCAGUAAUAGUUGAGGAGUUAUGAC
rnacentral:lncRNA from 1 species